AGAAUCAACGCUGGCGGCGUGCCUAACACAUGCAAGUCGCACGAGAAAGGGUAGCAAUACCUGAGUACAGUGGCGCACGGGUGAGUAACACGUGAAUAAUCUACCUCCGAGUGGGGAAUAACUGAGAGAAAUCUUAGCUAAUACCGCAUAACACUUACGAGUCAAAGCAGCAAUGCGCUUGGAGAGGAGUUCGCGGCAGAUUAGUUAGUUGGCGGGGUAAUGGCCACCAAGACGAUGAUCUGUAUCCGGCCUGAGAGGGCGCACGGACACACUGGAACUGAAACACGGUCCAGACUCCUACGGGAGGCAGCAGUGGGGAAUUUUGCGCAAUGGGGGAAACCCUGACGCAGCAACGCCGCGUGGAGGAUGAAAUCCCUUGGGAUGUAAACUCCUUUCGAUAGGGAAGAUAAUGACGGUACCUAUAGAAGAAGCCCGGCUAACUUCGCGCCAGCAGCCGC
rnacentral:rRNA from 1 species